UCGCGAACUUAAGAAAUUAAGUUCUUCAGUUUGGCUGGACGAAACACAGGUGCUGCAUGGCUGUCGUCAGCUCGUGUCGUGAGAUGUUGGGUUAAGUCCCGCAACGAGCGCAACCCUUACUUUUAGUUGCUAUCAUUUAGUUGAGCACUCUAAAAGAACUGCCAGUGAUAAGCUGGAGGAAGGUGGGGAUGACGUCAAGUCCUCAUGGCCCUUACGAGUUGGGCUACACACGUGCUACAAUGGUAUUUACAAUGGGAAGCAAAGAGGCGACUCCUAGCCAAUCCCAAAAAUAUACCUCAGUUCGGAUUGCACUCUGCAACUCGAGUGCAUGAAGCUGGAAUUGCUAGUAAUCGCGGAUCAGCGCGCCGCGGUGAAUACGUUCCCGGGUCUUGUACACACCGCCCGUCACACCAUGGAAGUUGGUUACACCUUAAGGCA
rnacentral:rRNA from 1 species